rnacentral:rRNA from 1 species
GAACGCUAGCUACAGGCUUAACACAUGCAAGUCGAGGGGCAGCAUGAACUUAGCUUGCUAAGUUUGAUGGCGACCGGCGCACGGGUGAGUAACACGUAUCCAACCUGCCGAUGACUCGGGGAUAGCCUUUUCGAAAGAAAGAUUAAUACCCGAUGGCAUAGUUCUUCCGCAUGGUAGAACUAUUAAAGAAUUUCGGUCAUCGAUGGGGAUGCGUUCCAUUAGGUUGUUGGUGAGGUAACGGCUCACCAAGCCUUCGAUGGAUAGGGGUUCUGAGAGGAAGGUCCCCCACAUUGGAACUGAGACACGGUCCAAACUCCUACGGGAGGCAGCAGUGAGGAAUAUUGGUCAAUGGGCGUUAGCCUGAACCAGCCAAGUAGCGUGAAGGAUGAAGGCUCUAUGGGUCGUAAACUUCUUUUAUAUAAGAAUAAAGUGCAGUAUGUAUACUGUUUUGUAUGUAUUAUAUGAAUAAGGAUCGGCUAACUCCGUG